CAUAUUAUAUAUGCAUGUAAAUAUGAAUGCAUAAUCCAACUGAAAAUAUGUAUGUGUGCAGCAGUUAAGUCAGAAAAAAGUGUCGUAAAAUGAAGUAGUACAUAUAAUAUGUAUAUAGGUAUGUUUACGAAAAUUUAACACUUUACUAGGUUUUCUAAAUAAUAUUAAACAGCAAAAAUCAUUUUUAGAACUUAAGCUCAUCUCAUAAGGUACAUGCACACGUACAUACAUAAGUACAUAACUGAAAUACAUGCAAUUUAGUAUUUUUCCUAUUUUUGUACAUUUGAAGAAACUCUUUAAUUGCAUUAAUUCAUUGGCAUAAUUUAGUGUUUACACUUUGUAACCAAGCAGUGAGAAUAAGAGAAUGACAGAGAGAGAGAGAACAAAACAAAUAUACUUGAUUAGAUACGAGAAUCUUCUAUGUUGUGAAAUACUACAUUGACGUUUCCUUUUCAACAAUUAUCCGUAUUGGAGUUAUGUUAGGGCCGGUCGGUAAUUACAGGCACCAGCUGCAUGACGCAGCAACAAAACAUACGCCAGCAUUUGUAUUGUAGGCACGCAAGAAAACACCAAUAACAAGAAACAACAACAACAACAGCACUGCACACAUUGCACCAUCAGCAGCUGCUACAUUUCAUUCCCUUCACACAUUAAAAAAAAGCAUAGAUUGACUUUAAUGCAAAACCAAGGCUUUGUUUCCAAUAAGCAAUGAACUCUUCCCGCUCCAAUUGGAUUGUCAUAAGUAGCAAAGGUAAACAGCAGUACCAGCAGUAGCAGCGUCGCGGCGUCAACGCCAGCAGAUACAGACUUUCAUUUUAUUUACGCCAAAGCAUUCGCGUAUAAAAACAUUUUCACACUAAACAACUUGAUAUCACAAAACGCCAUUGUGAUUUAUUUAUUUUACCAAAAGGGUACAAAGUAAACCGCAAAACUCGAUUUAUGUGCACUUUGCACGUUUUCUUGUCGUUCACUGCCUCGUCGUAUCUUCGUUCGCAUAUAACGUCGUCGCAAUCAGACACAAAAAA